CAAUCUCAAAAUGAUUCUCAGUACCCUUUGGAAAAUCAAUUAGGGCUCGUUCUAAACUGAAAAUCAAAUAAGAAAAUAUUUAAUUAUAAGUAUUAAAAAAGAAUGGAAAAAAAAAUAUUCAAAACUAUUUGGACAUAUAUGUGAAUCUGGGAGGCCAUAUUUACAUCUUUGGAUGUAGAUUAAACUAAAACAGUGUGCAUCCCAAAAAAAUUAUAAUUAUUGCAAAAAACACACAUGCAUAAAUUAGUUUCAACUCCAUAUGUAAACGCCCAAUUCACGUUUAGAAGACACGCAUACAUAACUGUAUUGAAAAAAAAUAAAAAUAAAAAGUCAAAUACAAGAAUAAUAGUCCAUCUUUUCAUUAAAUGAAAUUGGAAACAAUAAUUUGAAACUUGAUAAAACUAAAAUAUAUUAAAAGUCAACAAAGCCCCCAAAACUAAGAAGACACUCAUAAAUCGAAAAUACCCAUUCACAAACAAGAACACAUCAUGAAAAAGAACAAAAAUAACUCAACGACAAGAAGAUAGAUAGCAAUCGAGACAAAGCCUGUUCGAAACUAACAAAAUACAAAUCUUGCGAAGGAAAAAAAGAAGAAGCUAGAGUAGAUCAUUGUUUCGUUACAGAAGAGUGAAAAAAAUUUAUUUGAAACCAAAUAAAACCAAAUAAAUUAUAAAUCAAUAAAACAUCGAAUAAUAAAAAACACACAUAAAUUGAAAACACCUCUUCACAAACAAGAAGAACAUAUCACGAAAAAGAACGAGAAAAACUCAACAAGAAGAAGAAAUAUCGCAAUCGAGAUUGAGCCCAUUGAUAGCAUACAAAGCAUAGAUCUUACCGUAUACGUUGUCGAUUGCUUUCGUAGAAAUCUCAAUCAUGUUGACGUCGUUCAAAAUACACCAUCAGUCCAACGAAAACAUUCGAGCAAGAAAACAAAAAUCGAUUUAUGCACUAGCAUAAAAAAAGGAUUGUGCAUCAGAAGAGAAUUGCAGAAAUUCU
rnacentral:lncRNA from 1 species